AUGUCUGGUCACCUCUCUCUGUUGGUUUCGAUAAACGUCGAGCUUCUCCUGUUCGUCCGUUGACGUCUGGUCGAGUCUUUCCCAGUCAUCCGUUGAUGUCUAGUUACCUCUCCGUUGGUUUUGAUAAACGUCGAGUUUUUCCUAGUUGUCUGUUGACAUCUAGAUGUAUUUCUUUCUUCCCAGUUCAUCUGUUGAUGUCUGGUCACCUCUCUCCGUUGGUUUCGAUAAACGUCGAGCUUCUCCCGUUCGUCCGUUGACGUCUGGUCGAGUCUUUCCCAGUCAUCCGUUGAUGUCUGGUUACCUCUCCGUUG
rnacentral:lncRNA from 1 species